AUCCAUCUGACGAGUCUUGAAUAGGACGAAAUGCGCGUCCUGAAU
rfam:Schistosoma mattheei strain Denwood, Zambia genome assembly, scaffold: SMTD_contig0000768